rnacentral:rRNA from 1 species
GAGGAAGUAAAAGUCGUAACAAGGUUUCCGUAGGUGAACCUGCGGAAGGAUCAUUAUCGAAUCCUACCAGGGAGGGAGGGAAAAUGGACAAGGACYCUCAAGGCUGUCGCCGGCAACGUGCACGCCUUCCUCUUUCAUGGACCCCCCUUUCUAGUUUCCUUAUCCACCUGUGCACCCUUUGUAGGCCCUCGAAAGAGGUUCUAUGUUUAUCUAUCUACUACCACAUGUAUGUCCAGAAUGUAUACAAAUUUUACAACUUUCAGCAACGGAUCUCUUGGCUCUCGCAUCGAUGAAGAACGCAGCGAAUUGCGAUAAGUAAUGUGAAUUGCAGAUUUUCAGUGAAUCAUCGAAUCUUUGAACGCACCUUGCGCUCCUUGGUAUUCCGAGGAGCAUGCCUGUUUGAGUGUCAUCGAAUUCUCAACCAUGUCUUGAAUGAGGCAUGGCUUGGACUUGGGGGUUGCUGGCACACGUCUGUCRGCUCUCCUGAAAUGCAUUAGCGAUGGUCAGCAAGCCUGACGUGCACGGCCUUUUCGACGUGAUAACGAUCGUCGUGGGCUGGAGCGGUAGGGUGAGCGGUGAAUCGCUUCUAAUCUAAAGUCGGUCGUGAGACUGACUGAGGCUAGCCUUAGUUACUAGUCGGUCGUGAGGCUGACGAACRCGCAGGGUCUAGGUUUUGAACUCUUGACCUCAAAUCAGGUAGGACUACCCGCUGAACUUAAGCA